CACACACUCGCUCCACUACCACCCCCAGCCCCCUACUCUCCCCCAGAGGCUGGUGGUCUUCCUGCUACAUCAGAUCUUUGUUAAUCGAUAAUUUAGCAUGGCCAGUCCACCUAACCUGCAGAUCUUGGGGUUGUGGGAGGAAACCGGAGCACCCGGAGGAAACCCACGCAGACACAAGGGGAGAAUGUGAAAACUCCACACCGAUGGUCGCCUGAGGAUGGAAAUGUGACAUGUUUGUUGCUACAGCACCAUUGCACUUCCAGUGAUUCAGAGUGUGUAACAACCUGAGAUGUAAUACCACAAAUAUAAAUCUUCAUGAAACAAAAGUGUUUAAAAUUAAAUUAUACCAUUGACAAUG